UUUAAUUUUGAUUGAAUUUAUAAAUCAUUUAUAAAAAAUUUGUAUCCAAACCGAGUAAAAUGUACAUCCUUAAAUUGUGACCUAUUAUUCGUCUAAUGUUGUAAUAUAACGCAUGAUGUUGACUUGAUUCCCUUAAAAAUGUGGAUUUAGUCACAGUGUUUUAUUGAGGUGUAUAUAAUGUGUAGCCUUGUUUAUUGGGGGUGUGAACCAAAAAUACUUUUAUGUGAUACUCUCAAUUACAUAUAUGAUGGGACAAUUACGUACAAAAUCACAAUCUCAUUUUGAGCCAUCGAAUAAUUGUGCCACUGAAGAAAUGGAGAGAAGAUAAGAUGACAAAUGCAAGUGUGGUUGAACCAAUUUUUAUUGCGAGUUGCAUUGUUUUUGAAUGUAAGUCGACUCGAGGGAAUCAACCUUUUUGCCGGGCUUUUAUUUGAUUAUUGCUAUAAAGGGGUUGGUUUUAAAGAAGUCAUGAUCGUUGUUAGUUGGGUGGAGAGAGGUAUAGCUGGUCCUAAGCCGAGGCAUUUGAGGCCUACGCUUUAGGCCCAAAAUCAAAGGGGGCCUAAUUUUGGUCCUUUUUUUAUUUUUUUAUUUAAGGGUUUAAAGAGUUAAAAGCAAAAUUAGUUUUUUAUUCGUUUUUCUUCAUGCUUGUGACAGUGCGACCGACGAUCCAUUUUAAUUUCAUCAAGACAAGGUCACAAAUUUUUUGGGAUAGCUUUAGAGUCUGUAUGUCAUUUUAAUUUUGUAUUAUUUUUGUAAAUUUGUAAUGCUCAAAUUCUUGCGUAAAUAAUCGAAAAUGUUAUUGGAUGUUCAAAAUGGAAAAUGAGAAUUUGUUCAACAUAUCUUGAUCUAAGAAUGUGUAUCCUACUUGAACCUGCAUCACGUUUGCUAUCUAUUUACUAUUUAGCGUCCCCGACUGGCAUAAGGCAAUAGGGCAUGGUGUAAUGAUGAAAUUUUUACUUCAGGCUUAUGAAUUGUGACGAUAGAAUUUUCAAG
rnacentral:lncRNA from 1 species